GCAGAGACAAAAAAAGAAAAGAUGACAGAGCGGGGGACGAUUUGGUGGGAUUUUCAUUUUUAUUUUUACCUUUUUUAUUUUUUAUGUAAAUAGACACUAUAAAAGACCAAGAAUGUUGUAAUAGAAAAAGAACACACAAAAAAAAUCGAGAAUACAAGAAAAAAAGGUGAUUUCUGAGUUCCCUUUUUUAUUUGUAAAUCGCUUCUUUCUUUCCCCUUCGUUUUUUUUAUUUUG
rnacentral:lncRNA from 1 species